ACUCUUUCUGUGCACAGGGUACACCACUACAAGGAAAGUGACUUCCCCAGGGUGAAACUAAUUCUGCAUACUCUUGGCAUGCUGAACCUUUGAUUUCACCAGAUACUGAAAACUCACUUGUAUCACUUGUGGCAGCAGGGGGUCUGCCUUUGCACUCCCCCCUG
ensembl:snRNA U1 U1 spliceosomal RNA